GUUGCCCGGAACAGGCGUUGUGCACGUGAUAUGUGAAUGCAUCAGAAGCCGAGAGAAAUGAAGGUGUGCGCCAGUACAGCAGGUGGCGGUAUGCAUCUUUACAGUGGGUUUGAAAUCCGCCAGUAAACCCACAAAAGAAGAAGGAAGCCGUGCAUAGUGAAGAGAAGAAAAUGGUUCGUGUUUGCGCUUUUCCCGGCUGCGGUAAGAAAAUGAAGCACUAUAAUCCGGAAAGUUUUCACAGACUUCCACUGCAGCACAACGAUACAUUGAAGCAGUGGCUGGUCAUAUUACACAUAGAUGUCGAAACACCGGUAAAACUGCUGCGAGAGAAGGACUACCGUGUCUGCAGUAACCAUUUCAAAAAGGACGACUUCGUCGUAACCAGAAGAACCUCCAAUCCUCCCAGCAGACAUCGCCUCAAGAAAAGUGCUGUACCGAGAGCCGAGAGACCUGUUGCUGAUCAUGUGAAUGAGACACGUGGUUCUGAACCCUCUGCUCCACAAAUUAUGUCACACCUAGCUGCACUCCCACAGUCUACCCCAAAGAAGUUCCAACAUGCAGAAAGGUACGGUCAACCACCUUCCUUCAGAUUUUUGAAAUCAGCUCCUGAGCAUGCUUCAGUCAGGCCACGUACAACACCAACGUCAGCAACAUGGCAACUGACAGAGGAUAUGGAUGCAGAAUCAAUAUCAUAUUGGAGUCCUACCCACGCAGGCAGUGAAGCUAUGUCACACGUGAGUUAAAUGGA